UACAUUCUGGAACAUAGGUGCCAUAAGAU
rnacentral:piRNA from 1 species